rnacentral:rRNA from 1 species
UGAACGCUGGCGGCGUGCCUAACACAUGCAAGUCGAGCGUGAAAUUUAUGAAUGAUCCUUCGGGUGAAUGAUUAAAUGGAAAGCGGCGGACGGGUGAGUAACGCGUAGGUAACCUGCCUUAUGCUGGGGGAUAGCCAUUGGAAACGAUGAUUAAUACCCCAUAAGACUACAGUAUCGCAUGAUACAGUGGUAAAAGAUUUAUCGGCAUAAGAUGGACCUGCGUCUGAUUAGCUAGUUGGUAAGGUAAUGGCUUACCAAGGCGACGAUCAGUAGCCGACCUGAGAGGGUGAUCGGCCACACUGGAACUGAGACACGGUCCAGACUCCUACGGGAGGCAGCAGUGGGGAAUAUUGCACAAUGGGCGAAAGCCUGAUGCAGCAACGCCGCGUGAGUGAUGAAGGUUUUCGGAUCGUAAAACUCUUUUCUUAGGGAAGAAGAAGUGACGGUACCUAAGGAAUAAGCACCGGCUAACUAC